rnacentral:tRNA from 11 species
CGAUUAGCUCAGCGGGAGAGCGCUUCCCUGACACGGAAGAGGUCACUGGUUCAAUCCCAGUAUCG